rnacentral:rRNA from 1 species
CCCUUAGAUGUUCUGGGAUGCACGCGCGUUACACUGAUUCGUUCAACGAGUUUAUGACUUUGCCUGAUGAGGUGGGGGAAUCUUUUCAAAUCGCAUCGUGAUGGGGAUAGAGUAUUGUAACUGUUAGUCUUCAACGAGGAAUUCCUAGUAAGUACGUGUCAUCAGCUCGUACUGAUUAUGUCCCUGCCCUUUGUACACACCGCCCGUCGCUCCUACCGAUUGAGUGCUCAGGUGAAUAGUAUGGACUGCAUCAGUGUUCGGUCUCCGAAUGUUGACGCGAGAAAUUCUGUGAAUCUUAUUGCUUAGAGGAAGGAGAAGUCGUAACA